rnacentral:lncRNA from 10 species
ACUGACAGAAUGAGCUUCCAAGGCCCAGGAGACAAUGGAAUCUCACUCUGUCACCCAGACUGGAGUGCAGUGGCCCGAUCUCAGCUCACUGCAGCCUCCGCUUCCCAGGUUCAAGCGAUUCUCCUGCCUCAGCCUUCCAGGCAGCUGGGAUUACAGAUUAGUAAUUUUCCCAAGACCCUCCAAACAGAACCAAAACUCCUCAAAAGCGAAGCCAAGCACAGCUGUGGACCUUGUGGUAUACCCCAAGAUGCUCAGCCCAGAGCCCCCAACCCCUGCUCAGCUGUGUGACCUGGCCUGAAUCUCUCUGGGCCCCAUCUGUCCAAUCUGCAUCUGCCAACUUGCCACAGUCCCUGGACAACCUCUCACCCAAUCCUUCCCAGUCAGCCUUGCUAUUCCCUCCGGGCUCCAUACCUGUUUCCUGUACCUCCCGCCUGUAUUUCCUGUAUCCUGCCCCACAUUACAGCACUGAAACCCUC